GACGAACGCUGGCGGCGUGCCUAAUACAUGCAAGUCGAGCGGACGGAUGGGAGCUUGCUCCCAGACCGUCAGCGGCGGACGGGUGAGUAACACGUGGGCAACCUGCCUGUAAGACUGGGAUAACUCCGGGAAACCGGGGCUAAUACCGGAUAACUCUUUCCCUCACAUGAGGGAAAGCUGAAAGAUGGCAUCUCGCUAUCACUUACAGAUGGGCCCGCGGCGCAUUAGCUAGUUGGUGAGGUAACGGCUCACCAAGGCGACGAUGCGUAGCCGACCUGAGAGGGUGAUCGACCACACUGGGACUGAGACACGGCCCAGACUCCUACGGGAGGCAGCAGUAGGGAAUCUUCCGCAAUGGACGAAAGUCUGACGGAGCAACGCCGCGUGAGUGAUGAAGGUUUUCGGAUCGUAAAACUCUGUUGUCAGGGAAGAACAAGUACCGGAGUAACUGCCGGUACCUUGACGGUACCUGACCAGAAAGCCACGGCUAACUACGUG
rnacentral:rRNA from 1 species